AUAUGGGCGUAGAUGAUGAUGAGGAAGAUGAUAUUGAGAAUUGGGAGCUCCCUUAUUCGAUAUCUUGCACCGAGCGAUAUUUUGUCUCUCCCCUUUCAUCACCGUCGAAAUGUCUCUACCGCUCCCCAUCGAGCCAAAACAAUAAAAUGGGAAUAGCAGGCACGAUUGCGACCCAACGGCUUGCAGAGGCCGGUUGGUCACGCCUCCCUUGAGUUUGGAC
rnacentral:lncRNA from 1 species